rnacentral:misc_RNA from 1 species
GAUGAAGAACGUAGCGAAAUGCGAUACUUGGUGUGAAUUGCAGAAUCCCGUGAACCAUCGAGUCUUUGAACGCACAUUGCGCCCCCUGGUAUUCCGGGGGGCAUGCCUGUCCGAGCGUCAUUGCUGCCCUCAAGCACGGCUUGUGUGUUGGGCCUCCGUCCUCCUCCCGGGGGACGGGCCCGAAAGGCAGCGGCGGCACCGCGUCCGGUCCUCGAGCGUAUGGGGCUUCGUCACCCGCUCUUGUAGGCCCGGCCGGCGCUUGCCGACACAUCAAUCUUUUUUCCAGGUUGACCUCGGAUCAGGUAGGGAUACCCGCUGAACUUAAGCAUAUCAAUAAGCGGAGGA